rnacentral:sRNA from 1 species
GUCGUGAGAUGUUGGGUUAAGUCCCGCAACGAGCGCAACCCCUGUCUUUAGUUGCUAACGGUUAGGCCGAGCACUCUAGAGAGACUGCCAGUGUUAAACUGGAGGAAGGUGGGGAUGACGUCAAGUCCUCAUGGCCCUUAUGCCCAGGGCUACACACGUGCUACAAUGUCCGGUACAAAGGGUUGCCAAACUGCAAAGUGGAGCCAAUCCCAAAAAACCGGGCUCAGUUCAGAUAGAAGUCUGCAACUCGACUUCUUGAAGUUGGAAUCGCUAGUAAUCGCGGAUCAGCACGCCGCGGUGAAUACGUUCCCGGGCCUUGUACACACCGCCCGUCACACCAUGGGAGUCAGUUGCUCCAGAAACGGGUUGCCUAACCGCAAGGGGGGCGCUCUUUAAGGAGUGACUGGUAACUGGGGUGAAGUCGUAACAAGGUAGCCGUAGGGGAACCUGCGGCUGGAUCACCUCCUUUCUAAGGAGUUCUGUUCACUCUUCGGAGUGCAACGCAGACUUCGGUCUGUAUGAACUUUCUAGGUCUUUACUCACGAACUUCUCGUCGACUCGCUACUCAGGUUUCAGAGAGCGCGUGCUCUUUGAACACUAAAGAGGCGCAUGACUGGCCCUAGGGCCUGUAGCUCAGUUGGUUAGAGCACACACUUGAUAAGCGUGGGGUCGAAAGUUCAAAUCUUUCCAGGCCCACGAAUCUGGCAGCCCCCCUCGGGGGAAUAGCUCAGUUGGUAGAGCAUCGCGUUUGCAACGCGAGGGUCAGGGGUUCGAGUCCCCUUUCCUCCACCGACAGAAACCAACAGCAUUGACGAAAACGAAGAAGGACACACCUUCUUGGCUUUCAUCACUGCUUCGGUAGUGAGUGCACUCUGAUAAUCGAAUAGUUAUAGAUGACGCGAAUUUAAAAUUUACUUCUGAAAGUAAAUUCGCGAAGCGUCUUGGUGGCGUUACAAGCGAGGGUUUUGGAUGCGGCUCUUGAGUCGAAUCCUGGCCUUCAACCUGUAAGCCAUAUGUAAUUGUCACUCGAAGCUCCUUCGGGAGUUUUGGGCGGCAGUUACGGCGAAAAGAAAUAACGACACGAAGGUUGUCAGUAGCGACGUCGUGUUGAUGAUUUGAGGUCAAGCUACUAAGGGCACAUGGUGGAUGCCUUGGCGCUAGAAAGCGAUGAAGGGCGUGGUUAGCUGCGAUAAGCUUCGGGGAGCCGCAAGCAGGCGUUGAUCCGAAGAUGC